rnacentral:rRNA from 1 species
AGUGAACGCUGGCGGUAGGCCUAACACAUACAAGUCGAACGGCAGCACAGUAAGAGCUUGCUCUUACGGGUGGCGAGUGGCGGACGGGUGAGGAAUACAUCGGAAUCUACUUUUUCGUGGGGGAUAACGUAGGGAAACUUACGCUAAUACCGCAUACGACCUACGGGUGAAAGCAGGGGAUCUUCGGACCUUGCGCGAUUGAAUGAGCCGAUGUCGGAUUAGCUAGUUGGGGGGGUAAAGGCCCACCAAGGCGACGAUCCGUAGCUGGUCUGAGAGGAUGAUCAGCCACACUGGAACUGAGACACGGUCCAGACUCCUACGGGAGGCAGCAGUGGGGAAUAUUGGACAAUGGGCGCAAGCCUGAUCCAGCCAUACCGCGUGGGUGAAGAAGGCCUUCGGGUUGUAAAGCCCUUUUGUUGGGAAAGAAAAGCAGCAGGUUAAUACCCCGCUGUUCUGACGGUACCCAAAGAAUAAGCACCGGCUAACUUCGUG